rnacentral:rRNA from 1 species
CCUACGGGUGGCAGCAGUGGUGAAUAUUGCACAAUGGGGGAAACCCUGAUGCAGCGACGCCGCGUGAGUGAAGAAGUAAUUCGUUACGUAAAGCUCUAUCAGCAGGGAAGAAAAUGACGGUACCUGAGUAAGAAGCCCCGGCUAACUACGUGCCAGCAGCCGCGGUAAUACGUAGGGGGCAAGCGUUAGCCGGAUUUACUUGGUGUAAAGGGAGCGUAGACGGUGCGCCAAGUCUGGAGUGAAAUGCCGCAGCUUAACUGCGGAACUGAUUUGGAAACUGGCGAACUAGAGUGCGGGAGGGGUAAGCGGAAUGCCUAGUGUAGCGGUGAAAUGCUUAGAUAUCACGAAGAACCCCGAUUGCGAAGGCAGCCUGCCGCAGCGUUACUGACGCUGAAGCUCGAAAGCGCGGGUAUCGAACAGGAUUAGAUACCCCGUAGUC